CCUGUCUCCCUGGCAUGCAGGAUGCAAGGGGGGGAGGUGUUUGGUGAUAAUGAGAACCACCAGCAUGGUUCAUUAGUUCAUGAGAUGAGGUGAAGAGCCCUGUGCCUAUGCUGCUUGAGUAACUGGGCCCCAGCUCCUGCACUGUACAGGCAACCUUGACAGAUGAACUAGGGACCUGGGCUUGAGCCUG